AGGGUUUGAUCAUGGCUCAGAAUGAACGCUGGCGGUAUGCUUAAUACAUGCAAGUCGAACGAAAUAUUUAGCACUUGUGUUAAAUAAUUUAGUGGCGAACGGGUGAGUAACACGUAAGAACUUACCCCUAGACGAGGUACAACAGUUGGAAACGACUGCUAAUACCUCAUAUUACCGGAAGGUGAAAGAAGCAAUUCGUCUAGGGCGAGGCUUGCGUCUGAUUAGCUUGUUGGUGAGGUAAAGGCUUACCAAGGCGACGAUCAGUAGUUGGUCUUAGAGGAUGAUCAGCCACAUUGGGACUGAGACACGGCCCAAACUUUUACGGGAGGCAGCAGUAAGGAAUUUUCCGCAAUGGGCGCAAGCCUGACGGAGCAAUACCGCGUGAAGGAUGACGGCCCAUGGGUUGUAAACUUCUUUUCUUGGAGAAGAAUUCUGACGGUAUCCAAGGAAUAAGCAUCGGCUAACUCCGUGCCAGCAGCCGCGGUAAGACGGGGGAUGCAAGCGUUAUUCGGAAUUAUUGGGCGUAAAGCGUCUGUAGGUGGUAAGGAAAGUGUAAUGUUAAAGAUCAGGGCUCAACCCUGGGAAAGCAUUGCAAACUAUCUUACUUGAGUUCGGUAGGGGCAGAGAGAAUUCCCAGUGUAGCGGUGAAAUGCGUAGAUAUUGGGAGGAAGACCGGUGGCGAAGGCGUUCUGCUGGGCCGUAACUGACACUCAGAGACGAAAGCUAAGGUAGCAAAUAGGAUUAGAUACCCUAGUAGUCUUAGCUGUAAACGAUGCACACUAU
rnacentral:rRNA from 1 species